AGAGUUUGAUCCUGGCUCAGGAUGAACGCUGGCGGCGUGCCUAACACAUGCAAGUCGAGCGAGAAAUAAAGAAAUGAAGCUUCGGUAGAUUUUCUUUAUGGAAAGCGGCGGACGGGUGAGUAACGCGUAGGCAACCUGCCCUGUACAGGGGGAUAGCCACCCGAAAAGGUGAUUAAUACCCCAUAACGCAAGAGAUACACAUGUAUCACUUGUCAAAGAUUUAUCGGUAUAGGAUGGGCCUGCGUCUGAUUAGCUAGUUGGUAAGGUAACGGCUUACCAAGGCAACGAUCAGUAGCCGACCUGAGAGGGUGAUCGGCCACAUUGGAACUGAGACACGGUCCAAACUCCUACGGGAGGCAGCAGUGGGGAAUAUUGCACAAUGGGCGCAAGCCUGAUGCAGCAACGCCGCGUGAAGGAUGAAGGCCUUCGGGUUGUAAACUUCUGUCCUAGGGGAAGAAACAAAUGACAUUACCCUUGGAGGAAGCCCCGGCUAACUACGUGCCAGCAGCCGCGGUAAUACGUAGGGGGCGAGCGUUAUCCGGAAUUAUUGGGCGUAAAGAGUGCGUAGGUGGCACCUUAAGCGCAGGGUUUAAGGCAAUGGCUCAACCAUUGUUCGCCUUGCGAACUGGGGUGCUUGAGUGCAGGAGGGGAAAGUGGAAUUCCUAGUGUAGCGGUGAAAUGCGUAGAUAUUAGGAGGAACACCAGUGGCGAAGGCGACUUUCUGGACUGUUACUGACACUGAGGCACGAAAGCGUGGGGAGCAAACAGGAUUAGAUACCCUGGUAGUCCACGCCGUAAACGAUG
rnacentral:rRNA from 1 species